UGAAUUAAUGCCUGAUUGGUAAGUAAAACAAAUAAAUCUCUUAGUUUUAAAAUAUAUCUGCAAGAUUACUCUAAAGUAACUAUAGUUUAGAAAUGUACAGUGAAUACUUUGAAGGUCUAGACUUACACCAAUCUGUUUCCUAAUCAUUAGGAAUCUGUAUUAGAGUUCUGUCAGUCAAGAUUUGAUCCACUUAUUUAUUCAACAAAUGUACUAUGCAUGUAGUGUGUGUAGCUACUGCCCUAGGCACUGGGGAUGCAGUAUUGCCUUCAAGGAAUUUACAUCUAAUCUAUUACUUAAUAUAUUCAAAAUGGGAGAAUCUUUGCUUGAACCUAUUAAUAGUAAUGAGGUCAAGUACAAUCAUACAUAUUUUCCAAAGAGUUAACCUUUCAGCUGGUCUCAUAUUUGUCCUGUCAUGCUCUAAACAUUAUAUUACAGGCGUGCCAUACCUCAUCCUUCCUGUUAAAGCAGCAGCCUCCCAGCCCCUAGGAUUUCUUCCCGUCCACAUUCUUGCUGUCAUCUCAGCCAUCCACACCGCCCACAUCACAAAUUUACUCCCUCAUAACAUAUCUACUUGCACAAUGUUCCUCAAAUCCUGUUUAAAAUCCAUUAGUGUUUUGCUCAAGAACCUUCACUAGUUUUUUAUUUCUAAAUAAAACAUUUGCCCUUCUUUAAGGCCCUAAAUCUCGAGUCAUUUAAUGUAAUUAAACUUGUUUU
rnacentral:lncRNA from 1 species